rfam:Helobdella robusta unplaced genomic scaffold HELROscaffold_2, whole genome shotgun sequence.
GUAGGCUAUGGAGACAUGGUUCCCAAAACUUAUGUUGGUAUGUUCAUUGGCUCAAUUUGUGCUCUAACAGGUGUCUUAACGAUUGCCUUACCUGUCCCUGUUAUUGUCAGUAAU